rnacentral:piRNA from 1 species
UGCUGUUCUCAUGCACGAGAGUGACCAGGUG